GCACUAUGUUAAAGGCAGAGACAUGAAAAUAGUAGCCCCCCAUUUUAUUUUAUACUCAAGGACAUUUGCUUUUAGUAAGGCCACUGCAAUGUAAGUUUUACUGUUGCAUAAGUUCCGCCAGCAGAGGGCGCUCGGUCCUGUACGCAUCGGUAGCUGACGCUACACUAGAAGAAGUAGUGUCAGUGGCGAAGAGGCAGCGUACGGCCUGCGCGCCAAAGAGAACUGAUUGUCUUAUUUUUCUGUUUUUACAGUUUUCUGUAAAAAUAAAUAUGUUGCACGGGA